GUUGGCAGGCUCGAGGUCAGGGCAGGUAAAACAGGUUGGCAGGCUCGAGGUCAGGGCAGGUAAAACAGGUUGGCAGGCUCGAGGUCAGGGCAGGUAAAACAGGCUGGCAGGCUCGAGGUCAGGGCAGGUAAAACAGGUUGGCAGGCUCGAGGUCAGCGCAGGUAAAACAGGCUGGCAGGCUCGAGGUCAGGGCAGGCAGAAUGGUCAGGCAGGCUCGAGGUCAGGGCAGGCAGAAUGGUCAGGCUGGCGGGUACAGAGUCCAGAAAACAGGGUCAAGGGUCAAAACCGGGAGGACUAGAAAAAGAGAACAGAAAAGGCAGGAGCACGGGAAAACCGCUAGUGGACUUGGAAACAUACAAG
ensembl:lncRNA